CUUUGACAUACAGUCUGCCAAACACACACACACACACACACUUAGCUAGGUGCCUGGCAACAGCUAAAUGCAAAUUACUUCUUUAGCAACGUCAUUAAACCUCGGAAGGGGACUUAGGUGUUUAGAAACCAAUGCCAGAUGAAGUUGGGCAAAAGGAUGUCUAGCCUUUGUACGAGUGUAUGUAGGGGCGAAAUGUGACACGCUCCUGAAACUCUGAAACAACACCGAAGGAGCGGCUGGAUUCCCAGCGGACAGGAGCGGGACGUAUUGGCUUCCAGCAACAAUGCAGUGGCCGUUUCCUGUGUGGGCUUCCUGUAGGCUGUGCGCCGUGUUCCAGCAUGCAGUCAGCACUUCAAGUCCUGAGAGAUUGUACAGUCUCUCAGGAAAAACCGACCUGCUACAGAGCAGCACAAGGUCCAGUGAGCUGUGACAGACAUGCACUGAACCCAUCACUGUUUGCCUGACUGAAUGCAAGGGACAGCAAUGCAGCCAAAAGGCAAGACACAUGUCACUUAUCCCAUCUUCUCA